UUUAAAUUAAGUAAGAGUAUUUGGUGGAUGCCUUGGGUCUGAAAGUCGAUGAAGGACGCGAUUACCUGCGAUAAGCUUCGUGGAGUUGGAAAUAAACUAUGAUACGGAGAUUUCCGAAUGGGGUAACCUAACUGAGCAAACCUCAGUUGCAUUUUGAUGAAUCCAUAGUCAAAUUAGCGAGACACGUUGCGAAUUGAAACAUCUUAGUAGCAACAGGAAAAGAAAAUAAAUAAUGAUUUCGUCAGUAGUGGCGAGCGAAAGCGAAAGAGCCCAAACCUGUAAAAAGGGGUUGUAGGACAUCUUACAUUGAGUUACAAAAUUUUAUGAUAGUAGAAGAAGUUGGAAAGCUUCAACAUAGAAGGUGAUAUUCCUGUAUACGAAAUCAUAAAAUCUCAUAGAUGUAUCCUGAGUAGGGCGGGGCACGUGAAACCCUGUCUGAAUCUGCCGGGACCACCCGGUAAGGCUAAAUACUAAUCAGACACCGAUAGUGAACUAGUACCGUGAGGGAAAGGUGAAAAGAACCCAGAGAUGG
rnacentral:rRNA from 2 species